rnacentral:rRNA from 1 species
GACGAACGCUGGCGGCGUGCCUAAUACAUGCAAGUUGAGCGAUGAAGAUUGGUGCUUGCACCCAUUUGAAGAGCAGCGAACGGGUGAGUAACGCGUGGGGAAUCUGCCUUUGAGCGGGGGACAACAUCUGGAAACGAAUGCUAAUACCGCAUAAUAACUUUAAACAUAAGUUUUAAGUUUGAAAGAUGCAAUUGCAUCACUCAAAGAUGAUCCCGCGUUGUAUUAGCUAGUUGGUGAGGUAAAGGCUCACCAAGGCGAUGAUACAUAGCCGACCUGAGAGGGUGAUCGGCCACAUUGGGACUGAGACACGGCCCAAACUCCUACGGGAGGCAGCAGUAGGGAAUCUUCGGCAAUAGACGAAAGUCUGACCGAGCAACGCCGCGUGAGUGAAGAAGGUUUUCGGAUCGUAAAACUCUGUUGGUAGAGAAGAACGUUGGUGAGAGUGGAAAGCUCAUCAAGUGACGGUAACUACCCAGAAAGGGACGGCUAACUACGUG